rnacentral:rRNA from 1 species
UUUUAUGAGAGUUUGAUCCUGGCUCAGGACGAACGCUGGCGGCGUGCCUAAUACAUGCAAGUCGAACGCUUCUUUUUCCACCGGAGCUUGCUCCAUCGGAAAAAGAGGAGUGGCGAACGGGUGAGUAACACGUGGGUAACCUGCCCAUCAGAAGGGGAUAACACUUGGAAACAGGUGCUAAUACCGUAUAACAAUCGAAACCGCAUGGUUUUGAUUUGAAAGGCGCUUUCGGGUGUCGCUGAUGGAUGGACCCGCGGUGCAUUAGCUAGUUGGUGAGGUAA